CACAUAAAGUGGGUAUGCCACUUUAAGAGAAGAGGUUAAGGAAGCUGGGUGGUCUGCCUGGCCAAUGAGAAGUUUGGUUUCCAGAGCGUCUGGACCAAUCAGGGUGCAGGCUGCCGUUGUGGAUCCCGCCCUUCUCCCCCGGGUCUGCAGUACCGUUGGUUUUGCUCUAGAGAUCCGACGCGGUGAGACUGCUGAGCGGGGCAGCGCCAGAAGCCGUUAGGAAUCGUUGGCUCUUUCUGGCAGUUAUUUCAGCUUGUUCUUCGUAGAUAAAAGUGCCCCACGCAUCCGGAUUGAGACCCACUAUACGGUUGUCUGAAGUGUGUCGCACUGAGAUCGGUCAGGUUUUUUUUAUACUGGAUCAUUCCUGAAGUGGAUCCCUCCUUUGAUAUUGAUGGCGAGCCUUCCCACCUGGACCUAAAGAGAGAACCAGAUUUCGUCUAUCCCAUUUGGAGUCAUGCUGCACCCUGCGGUGUGGUAGGAGAGCAACAUACAUCUUCACACACGGUUAUGUGUGAAACCUACAACAGACAUUCUCCAUUAUUAUUGUUUUUUUUAUUUAUUGAUUUUUGGACAAUACUGUUUGGAUUGUUUUAUUUCGGACAUUGUGACGCACAGCUGUGGUGGAAAUUCUCCUGUGAAUGAAGUUGAAUCAAACCAAAUUGGGAUUAAUUUGAUUAAUCUGCUGACUAAUACAAUUUGGAGUGCAGAUUACCAGGGUGCACCCGAAUUAUUUGAAAUUAAGAAUUAGCACUUGGCCAAGUAUUAUUGUUAUUUCUUUUUUUUUUCAUUUUAUUGUGUGUAAUUUUAUUUUCAUAAUUGUGUGUUUUGUGCAACUGUUAAUUGUGUGUUUUCUGUCACUAAAACCAGUUCUUUAAAUACACCCAACUGCCCUUGUGUGUCAUUUAAACACUCCACUGUGCUCCGAUAGCCGAACCUAUUGGCCCAUUUAUCCAAAAUAUAUGUAAUACCCUUC